CGAACGCUGGCGGCAGGCCUAAUACAUGCAAGUCGAACGGCUCUUCGGAGCAGUGGCGGACGGGUGAGUAACGCGUGGGAAUGUGCCCUUUGGUACGGAACAACACAGGGAAACUUGUGCUAAUACCGUAUGUGCCCUUCGGGGGAAAGAUUUAUCGCCAUUGGAGCAGCCCGCGUUGGAUUAGGUAGUUGGUGAGGUAAAGGCUCACCAAGCCUACGAUCCAUAGCUGGUCUGAGAGGAUGACCAGCCACACUGGGACUGAGACACGGCCCAGACUCCUACGGGAGGCAACAGUAGGGAAUCUUGCGCAAUGGGCGAAAGCCUGACGCAGCCAUGCCGCGUGUAUGAUGGAGGUCUUAGGAUUGUAAAAUACUUUCACCGGGGAAGAUAAUGACGGUACCCGGAGAAGAAGCCCCGGCUAACUUCGUGCCAGCCGCCGCGGUAACAC
rnacentral:rRNA from 1 species